GCAAACUUGGUCAUUUAGAGGAAGUAAAAGUCGUAACAAGGUCUCCGUUGGUGAACCAGCGGAGGGAUCAUUACAGAGUUGCAAAACUCCUCCACACACGCGAACUUACCCGUAUUGUUGCUUCGGCGGGCGGCCCCAGGGCGGGGCCGUAGCCUGUAAAGGCGCCCGCCGGAGGUGCCAAACUCUGUUUGUAUAGGCCUCUCUGAGUAUUGCAAGAAUAAGUCAAAACUUUCAACAACGGAUCUCUUGGCUCUGGCAUCGAUGAAGAACGCAGC
rnacentral:misc_RNA from 1 species